rnacentral:rRNA from 1 species
AUACGUAGGGUGCAAGCGUUAAUCGGAAUUACUGGGCGUAAAGCGUGCGCAGGCGGUUUUGUAAGACAGAGGGGAAAUCCCCGGGCUCAACCUGGGAACUGCCUUUGUGACUGCAAGGCUCGAGUACGGCAGAGGGGGAUGGAAUUCCGCGUGUAGCAGGGAAAUGCGUAGAUAUGCGGGGGAACACCGAUGGCGAAGGCAAUCCCCUGGGCCUGUACUGACGCUCAUGCACGAAAGCGUGGGGAGCAAACAGGAUUAGAUACCCUGGUAGUCCACGCCCUAAACGAUGUCAACUGGUUGUUGGGUCUUUAUUGACUCAGUAACGAAGCUAACGCGUGAAGUUGACCGCCUGGGGAGUACGGCCGCAAGGUUGAAACUCAAAUGAAUUGACGGGG